rnacentral:rRNA from 1 species
AUUGAACGCUGGCGGCAGGCCUAACACAUGCAAGUCGAACGAGUGGCGGAAGGGUGAGUAAUGUCUGGGAAACUGCCUGAUGGAGGGGGAUAACUACCGGAAACGGUAGCUAAUAACGCAUAACAUCAGAUGUGCCCAGGUGGGAUUAGCUUGUUGUUGGGGUAACGGCUGACCAAGGCCACGAACCCUAGCUGGUCUGCGAGCAUGACCAGCCACACUGUAACUGAGACACGGUCCAGACUCCGACGGGAGGCAGCAGUGGGGAAUAUUGCACAAUGGGCGCAAGCCUGAUGCAGCCAUGCCGCGUGUAUGAAGAAGGCCUUCGGGUUGUAAAGUACUUUAAGCUGGGAGGCGUUACCCGCAGAAGAAGCACCGGCUAACUCCGUGCCAGCAGCCGCGGUAAUAC